ACCGAGUGUAGGGUUCCUAGCGAGCCCAACCUCCCACCCGUGUUUACUGUACCUUAGUUGCUUCGGCGGGCCCGCCAUUCAUGGCCGCCGGGGGCUCUCAGCCCCGGGCCCGCGCCCGCCGGAGACACCACGAACUCUGUCUGAUCUAGUGAAGUCUGAGUUGAUUGUAUCGCAAUCAGUUAAAACUUUCAACAAUGGAUCUCUUGGUUCCGGCAUCGAUGAAGAACGCAGCGAAAUGCGAUAACUAGUGUGAAUUGCAGAAUUCCGUGAAUCAUCGAGUCUUUGAACGCACAUUGCGCCCCCUGGUAUUCCGGGGGGCAUGCCUGUCCGAGCGUCAUUGCUGCCCAUCAAGCACGGCUUGUGUGUUGGGUCGUCGUCCCCUCUCCGGGGGGGACGGGCCCCAAAGGCAGCGGCGGCACCGCGUCCGAUCCUCGAGCGUAUGGGGCUUUGUCACCCGCUCUGUAGGCCCGGCCGGCGCUUGCCGAACGCAAAUCAAUCUUUU
rnacentral:rRNA from 1 species